CAAUAGCGUAUAUUAAAGUUGUUGCAGUUAAAAAGCUCGUAGUUGGAUUUCUGGGAGGGUGCCGCCGUCCGGCGUGUCCGUGUGCAGUGGCGCCCUUCCAUCCUUCUGUUAGCGUCUCUUGGCAUUCAUUUGCUGGUGACGGGCUCAGAUAUUUUACCUUGAGAAAAUUAGAGUGUUUCAGGCAGGCUAGGCCGGAAUACAUUAGCAUGGAAUAAUGGAAUAGGACUACGGUCUCUUUGUUGGUUUGAGGGACUGCAGUAAUGAUUAAUAGGGAUAGUUGGGGGCAUUAGUAUUUAAUUGUCAGAGGUGGAAUUCUCAGAUUUGUUAAAGACUAACUUAUGCGAAAGCAUUUGCCAAGGAUGUUUUCAUUAA
rnacentral:rRNA from 1 species